CAGCAGCCGCGGGAAUACGUAGGGUGCAAGCGUUAAUCGGAAUUACUGGGCGUAAAGCGUGCGCAGGCGGUUAUAUAAGACAGAUGUGAAAUCCCCGGGCUCAACCUGGGAACUGCAUUUGUGACUGUAUAGCUAGAGUACGGCAGAGGGGGAUGGAAUUCCGCGUGUAGCAGUGAAAUGCGUAGAUAUGCGGAGGAACACCGAUGGCGAAGGCAAUCCCCUGGGCCUGUACUGACGCUCAUGCACGAAAGCGUGGGGAGCAAACAGGAUUAGAUACCCCUGUAGUCCCUGUCUCUUAUAC
rnacentral:rRNA from 1 species